rnacentral:rRNA from 1 species
UCGAACGCCAAAGCGGGGGCAACUCCGCAAGUAGCGUGGCGCAAGGGUGAGUAAUGCUUGGAUGACCUACCCUCGAGACGGGGAUAACGGUCCGAAAGGAUCGCUAAUACCCGAUGGUCCCAGUCGGAUGCGUCCGGCAGGGUAAACGGUUGAUUCCGCUCGAUGAGGGUUCCAAGUCCUAUCAGCUAGUUGGCGGGGUAACGGCCCACCAAGGCUAUGACGGGUAGGCGGACUGAGAGGUCGACCGCCCACAUCGGGACUGAGAUACUGCCCGGACUCCUACGGGAGGCUGCAGUCGAGAAUCUUCUGCAAUGGGCGCAAGCCUGACAGAGCGACGCCGCGUGGAGGAUGAAGGCCUUCGGGUUGUAAACUCCUGUCACACGUUAUGAAAUGUACGGGUUACACCCGUGCACUGACAAAGGCGUGGGAGGAAGUCACGGCUAACUUCGUGCCAGCAGCCGCGGUAAGACGAAGGUGGCUAGCGUUAUUCGGAUUCACUGGGCAUAAAGCGCGCGUAGGCGGCUCUUCAAGUCGGGGGUGAAAGCCUGCAGCUCAACUGCGGAACUGCCUUCGAUACUGUCGAGCUUGAGUGCAGGAGGGGUGAUCGGAACUCCAGGUGUAGCGGUGAAAUGCGUAGAUAUCUGGAGGAACACCGGAGGCGAAGGCGGAUCACUGGACUGUCACUGACGCUGAGGCGCGA